rnacentral:rRNA from 1 species
UAGAGGUUGAUCCUGGCUCAGGAUGAACGCUAGCUACAGGCUUAACACAUGCAAGUCGAGGGGAAACGGCAUUGAGUGCUUGCACUCUUUGGACGUCGACCGGCGCACGGGUGAGUAACGCGUAUCCAACCUUCCCAUUACUGUGGGAUAACCUGCCGAAAGGCAGACUAAUACCGCAUAGUCUUCGAUGACGGCAUCAGAUUUGAAGUAAAGAUUUAUCGGUAAUGGAUGGGGAUGCGUCUGAUUAGCUUGUUGGCAGGGUAACGGCCCACCAAGGCGACGAUCAGUAGGGGUUCUGAGAGGAAGGUCCCCCACAUUGGAACCGAGACACGGUCCAAACUCCUACGGGAGGCAGCAGUGAGGAAUAUUGGUCAAUGGACGGAAGUCUGAACCAGCCAAGUAGCGUGCAGGAUGACGGCCCUAUGGGUUGUAAACUGCUUUUGUAUGGGGAUAAAGUUAGGGACGUGUCCCUAUUUGCAGGUACCAUACGAAUAAGGACCGGCUAAUUCCGUGCCAGCAGCCGCGGUAAUACGGGAGGUCCAGGCGUUAUCCGGAUUUAUUGGGUUUAAAGGGAGCGUAGGCUGGAGAUUAAGUGUGUUGUGAAAUGUAGACGCUCAACGUCUGACUUGCAGCGCACACUGGUUUCCUUGAGUACGCACAACGUUGGCGGAAUUCGUCGUGUAGCGGUGAAAUGCUUAGAUAUGACGAAGAACUCCGAUUGCGAAGGCAGCUGACGGGAGCGCAACUGACGCUUAAGCUCGAAGGUGCGGGUAUCAAACAGGAUUAGAUACCCUGGUAGUCCGCACAGUAAA